UGGGGAGCGGCCGAAGAUAAAACUUCCGUCGAACCAGAGAAAAAAGCACUUCCGGUCACACCAUCGUCGCGUAGCCGCCUUCUUCGCGAAGUUUUUUAGAAGUAUUUUGCCUCAGGAUUUCCUCUCACCUGACUGACAAUAAGGAAUUUCCUGCCUUGAUUUCUCUCUGGGACAUCAGCACCUUGGUCCGGGAGCACAUCAAUAGGCUGCCUGCCCAGCCCCUAAGGCAGCCAUUUUCUCUUUCAGAUAACAAAAUCUCUUGCGUGGGCCCAUGUCUCCUGAGUUGUUCUGGGGUAAGGAAGAUCACGGCAAUAUACCCUUUCAUUGGUGCGGUGACUUCAGGUGAGGUUCUCCCAUUGACUUUGCUCUUCUCCUGGGAAUCUGAGCUGCUUUGGGAACCCUCACUGGCCAGUCCUCCUCCACGGGCUCACCAUCCAUUUCCCCGGUCACUCGUCUUCUCGCCCAACACCGACAUGCAAUUUGGGCUAUCAAGGCCUUCUCACGAAGAAUAACGAAACCAGCUAGAUGACAUCACGAAUCAUCUCAGGAUGCCUGCCCUUCCCCAACUCUACAGCAAGGGCCUUGCUAAUCCCAGAAUGUGUGCCCCCUUCCAGCAGGAAGUAUCUAGAGAAUGAGAUUCUAUGCCCAGUUCCCCAGAGGCCCAAUUAAGAAAAGAAAAAGAUGGGAAUGAAGGCAAAUUCUUUCAUGCUAAGACGCCCACCUCUUAAGAUCCAAUCACCACUGACCAGAUCGUCGCCCACCCCUUAAUAUCCAAUCACCGGUGCAGAACACACCCUACCCCUACUCCUUAAAAACAUGCUUCCUCACCCACGAGCUGCUGUUCCCUCUCUCUGGGGACAGCCAUUUUCUCCUUCAGAUAAUAAAAUCUUUUG